ACUCAAAUGAAUUGACGGGGGCCCGCACAAGCGGCGGAGCAUGUGGAUUAAUUCGAUGCAACGCGAAGAACCUUACCUGGGCUUGACAUACACCAGAUCGCUGCAGAGAUGUAGCUUCCCUUGUGGCUGGUGUACAGGUGGUGCAUGGUUGUCGUCAGCUCGUGUCGUGAGAUGUUGGGUUAAGUCCCGCAACGAGCGCAACCCUUGUCUUAUGUUGCCAUCACGUGAUGGUGGGCACUCAUGAGAGACUGCCGGGGUUAACUCGGAGGAAGGUGGGGAUGACGUCAAAUCAUCAUGCCCCUUAUGUCCAGGGCUUCACACAUGCUACAAUGGUCGGUACAGCGAGUUGCCACACCGUGAGGUGGAGCUAAUCUCUUAAAGCCGGCCUCAGUUCGGAUUGGGGUCUGCAACUCGACCCCAUGAAGUCGGAGUCGCUAGUAAUCGCAGAUCAGCAACGCUGCGGUGAAUACGUUCCCGGGCCUUGUACACACCGCCCGU
rnacentral:rRNA from 1 species